rnacentral:rRNA from 1 species
UCGAACGGGAAACCUUUUAUUGAAGCUUCGGCAGAUUUAACUGGUUUCUAGUGUCGGACGGGUGAGUAACGCGUGGGUAACCUGCCUUGUACAGGGGGAUAACAGUCAGAAAUGACUGCUAAUACCGCAUAAGCGCACAGGACCGCAUGGUCCGGUGUGAAAAACUCCGGUGGUAUAAGAUGGACCCGCGUUGGAUUAGCUUGUUGGCAGGGUAACGGCCUACCAAGGCAACGAUCCAUAGCCGGCCUGAGAGGGUGAACGGCCACAUUGGGACUGAGACACGGCCCAGACUCCUACGGGAGGCAGCAGUGGGGAAUAUUGCACAAUGGGGGAAACCCUGAUGCAGCGACGCCGCGUGAAGGAAGAAGUAUCUCGGUAUGUAAACUUCUAUCAGCAGGGAAGAAAAUGACGGUACCUGACUAAGAAGCCCCGGCUAACUACGUGCCAGCAGCCGCGGUAAUACGUAGGGGGCAAGCGUUAUCCGGAUUUACUGGGUGUAAAGGGAGCGUAGACGGAUGGACAAGUCUGAUGUGAAAGGCUGGGGCUCAACCCCGGGACUGCAUUGGAAACUGCCCGUCUUGAGUGCCGGAGAGGUAAGCGGAAUUCCUAGUGUAGCGGUGAAAUGCGUAGAUAUUAGGAGGAACACCAGUGGCGAAGGCGGCUUACUGGACGGUAACUGACGUUGGGGCUCGAAAGCGUGNGGAGCAAACAGGAUUAGAUACCCUGGUNGUCCACGCGGUAAACGAUGAAUGCUAGGUGUCGGGUGACAAAGUCAUUCGGUGCCGCCGCAAACGCAUUAAGCAUUCCACCUGGGGAGUACGUUCGCA